rnacentral:rRNA from 1 species
GACGAACGCUGGCGGCGUGCUUAACACAUGCAAGUCGAACGGAUCACCUUUGCUUCGGUUUUGGUGGUUAGUGGCGAACGGGUGAGUAACACGUGAGCAACCUGCCCUUCACUGGGGGAUAACUGUGGGAAACUUCAGCUAAUACCGCAUGUACACCUUCUAUCGCAUGGUGGUUGGUGGAAAGUUUUUUCGGUGGGGGAUGGGCUCGCGGCCUAUCAGCUUGUUGGUGGGGUAAUGGCCUACCAAGGCUUUGACGGGUAGCCGGCCUGAGAGGGCGACCUGCCACACUGGGACUGGGAUACGGCCCAGACUCCUACGGGAGGCAGCAGUGGGGAAUAUUGCACAAUGGACGGAAGUCUGAUGCAGCAACGCCGCGUGCGGGAUUACGGCCUUCGGGUUGUAAACCGCUUUCACCAGGGGCGAAUUUGACGGUACCUGGAGAAGAAGCACCGGCUAACUACGUGCCAGCCGCCGCCGUAAAAC